GAGUUUGAUCGUGGCUCAGAUUGAACGCUGGCGGUAGGCCUAACACAUGCAAGUCGAACGGCAGCACAGGAGAGCUUACUCUCUGGGUGGCGAGUGGCGGACGGGUGAGGAAUACAUCGGAAUCUACCUUUUCGUGGGGGAUAACGUAGGGAAACUUACGCUAAUACCGCAUACGACCUACGGGUGAAAGUGGGGGACCGCAAGGCCUCACGCGAUUAGAUGAGCCGAUGUCCGAUUAGCUAGUUGGUGGGGUAAUGGCCUACCAAGGCGACGAUCAGUAGCCGGCCUGAGAGGGCGGACGGCCACACUGGGACUGAGACACGGCCCAGACUCCUACGGGAGGCAGCAGUGGGGAAUUGUUCGCAAUGGGCGCAAGCCUGACGACGCAACGCCGCGUGGAGGAUGAAGAUCUUCGGGUCGUAAACUCCUGUCGAGCGGGAAGAACACCUGCAGGGCGAAUAUCCAUGCAGGCUGACGGUACCGCUAAAGGAAGCCCCGGCUAACUCCGUGCCAGCCGCCGCA
rnacentral:rRNA from 1 species